UUUUCUCAGCAAGGAACAUCCCUGAGUAUUUUGUGAAGGGCAACAUAAAAUAAAAUAAAAAAAUCUAUUUACAAAUAGAAGAUAUUAUUGGACCCGCAAAGAAGUAGAAAGAGUAUUGUCUCCUUAUUAUGGCCCCCCAAACUCAUCCUAAACCACUGCCUUGUAUAUAAAAUGUUUCUUGCUUACCUCUUUACAUCUCCAUAAAACAAAAAACUCUUUACUACAUUAAGGCCUUUGAAAAUUGCUUUUUUGCUCUCUGAAAGAAAAGGUUGUCAAACUUUCACUUUAGAGAGUUUUUCUCCUUAUUGAUUUUAAAUAGCUCUUUGUAUUGUAUAUAUAUUAAUUAUGUUUCUAAUAUAUGCUUCAACUAUUUUUCCAGUGUGUUCGUUAUAUUUUCAAAAUGCAAACACUUUCUGAAACCUUUUGACCACCAAUAGAAAAAUGAGAAAAAACAAAUAUUCUAACCCACAAAACCCAUUUGCUAAGGGCAAAGUAUUGUCCUUUAAAUAUAUAAAUGAGAUUAGUAGAAACUCAGCUUAAGACUUCCCAGUGGCUGG
rnacentral:lncRNA from 1 species